rnacentral:rRNA from 1 species
AGCCUACGAGUUACUCGUAUCUAGCAAGGUUAAGUCAUUAAUUGACGCAGCCGAAGCGAAAGCAAGUCUGAAUAGGGCGUUUAGUUAGGUGCGGUAGACGCGAAACCUUGUGAUCUACCCAUGACCAGGUUGAAGUUCCGGUAACACGGAAUGGAGGACCGAACCAGUAGACGUUGAAAAGUCUUUGGAUGAGUUGUGGGUAGGGGUGAAAGGCCAAUCAAACUCGGAAAUAGCUCGUACUCCCCGAAAUGCAUUUAGGUGCAGCGUUGAUUUAGUUUUAUAGAGGUAGAGCUACUGAUUGGAUGCGGGGGUUUCACCACCUACCAAUUCUUGACAAACUCCGAAUGCUAUAAAAUGAUGAUCAGCAGUGAGGGCAUGGGUGCUAAGGUCCAUGUCCGAGAGGGAAAGAACCCAGACCAUCAGCUAAGGUCCCAAAAUGUAUGUUAAGUUGAUUAAACGAGGUUGAACUGCCCAGACAGCUAGGAUGUUGGCUUGGAAGCAGCCAUUCAUUUAAAGAGUGCGUAACAGCUCACUAGUCGAGCGGUCGAGCAUGGAUAAUAAUCGGGCAUAAGCAUAUCACCGAAGCUGUGGCAACGAAAGUUGGGUAGGGGAGCAUUGUAGCGGCGCUGAAUGUAAACUGCGAGGUUUGCUGGAGCUUCUACAAAAGAAAAUGUAGGCAUAAGUAACGAUAAUGCGGGCGAGAAACCCGCACACCGAAAGACUAAGGUUUCCUCAGCUAUGCUAAUCAGCUGAGGGUUAGUCGGGACCUAACACGAACCCGAAAGGGGUAGUGGAUGGACAACAGAUUAAUAUUUCUGUACCUGCUCUCAUUAAAAGUGACGGAUUACCCAGGUGUUUACGUGGCGACGGAAGUCCACGUUGAGCCUAGCCUUCGGGCGAAGCGAAAACAAGUAAGUAGUUCCAAGAAAAGCGAGAGAAGCAGCCCGUACCGCAAACCGACACAGGUAGUUGGGAUGAGUAUUCUAAGGAGCUCGAGAGAUUCAUGGCUAAGGAACUAGGCAAAAUAGACCCGUAACUUCGGGAGAAGGGUCGCCACGCCUCGGCGUGGCCGCAGUGAAAUGGUUCAGGCGACUGUUUAUCAAAAACACAGGACUCUGCUAAAUCGAAAGAUGAUGUAUAGGGUCUGACACCUGCCCGGUGCCGGAAGGUUAAGUGGAGUUGUUAGCUUCGGCGAAGCAGCGAAAUGAAGCCCCGGUAAACGGCGGCCGUAACUAUAACGGUCCUAAGGUAGCGAAAUUCCUUGUCGGGUAAGUUCCGACCUGCACGAAUGGUGCAACGAUCUGGAUACUGUCUCGGCCAUGAGCUCGGUGAAAUUGUAGUAUCGGUGAAGAUGCCGAUUAACCGCUACGGGACGAAAAGACCCCGUGCACCUUUACUAUAGCUUCGUAUUGACCUUGGAUAAGUAAUGUGUAGGAUAGGUGGGAGACUUUGAAACCAUACCGCCAGGUAUGGUGGAGUCGCCCUUGAAAUACCACCCUUUGCUUAUCUAGGGCCUAAUCUGUUUACAGAGACAGUGCGUGGUGGGUAGUUUGACUGGGGUGGUCGCCUCCAAAAGAGUAACGGAGGCUUCUAAAGGUACCCUCAGCACGCUUGGUAACCGUGCGUAGAGUGCAAUGGCAUAAGGGUGCUUGACUGAGAGACUGACAAGUCGAUCAGGUACGAAAGUAGAGCAUAGUGAUCCGGUGGUUCCGUAUGGAAUGGCCAUCGCUCAAAGGAUAAAAG